rnacentral:rRNA from 1 species
AUGCGGAUGCUGCAGGACGUGCCUGCACUACCCUGCCACCCCUACGUUUCCGGACCAGUACAUCUGCUCCGUCGUGAACACAUGCUUCGUGUCAUACAGGCCGCCGCACAGGUUUUUCCUCUUCGUGCUUGUAUCAGUGGGCUGCGGUGUGGACUUUCAUCUGGUACCCUUCGUGCAGCGGCGUGUCGAGCUGAGUAUCUCCCUUGGUGCCCAGAAUCAUGCCCUUUCCUUGCUCUAGGGAGGGCAAUUUCAUCUUCCGGCGGUCCGGCGCCUUUCGAGCCAAGGCGAGGGGCAGGGGUCCCCUCCGGAUUUGGAGAGGAGUGGCAUGGUUUCGAUGUGCACCUUCCAGGGUAG